rnacentral:rRNA from 1 species
CCUACGGGAGGCAGCAGUGAGGAAUAUUGGUCAAUGGGCGAGAGCCUGAACCAGCCAAGUCGCGUGAGGGAAGACGGUCCUAUGGAUUGUAAACCUCUUUUGUCGGGGAGCAAAAAGGCCUCGUGAGGCCACAAGUGAGAGUACCCGAAGAAAAAGCAUCGGCUAACUCCGUGCCAGCAGCCGCGGUAAUAAGGAGGAUGCGGGCGUUACACGGAUUUAUUGGGGGGAAAGAGUUCGUAGGCGGCAUGUAAAGUCAGGUGUUAAAGGCGCAGGCUUAACCUGUGUAUGGCACUUGAUACUUGCAAGCUGGAAUGCGGUAGAGGUAAGGGGAAUUCCUGGGGUAGCGGUGAAAUGCUUAGAUAUCAGGAGGAACAUCGGUGGCGUAAGCGCUUUACUGGGCCGUAAUUGACGCUGAGGAACGAAAGCCAGGGUAGCAAAUGGGAUUAGAUACCCCAGUAGUC